ensembl:lncRNA
GGGGAGGGCCGUGGUCCCAGUGAAGCCCCGCCCCUAGUCUCCGACACUGCGGGGCGGACCUGGGCGAUCAGUCCCGAGAGUCUGUCGGAGUCCAGCCGCUGGGCACAAAGAGGCUGGCAUUGCAGAACUGCUCGCCUGGGGCUCUCCUGCGGAGGGAGAAACGCGGCGAAUCUGGACGAGCAAGCCCUCCGCAAACUCCCCUCUCCCACUCAAUUGGGAGGUAAGGCCAGGACCCAAGCUUUGGGUCUGAUCAGUGCUGCUCUGGGCAGCAAAGACGAAAGGCCCCAGCUUACCGCACCUUUUAUUCAGUACUCAGUACAUCCGGAGAAAUAAAUGUAACAAACAACUUGCAGAGAGUUCAGCACAUUGGGGUAAACAAGAUGUAACAAUCCAAGAACAAUGAGGAACUGAGUAGAUGAAGAUUUUGUUCCUCCCAGGAUUUCUUCACCUGGUGUAAUCUUGUCCUGGAGAAUCACAGCAUUACCGGAUCAUUGAGGUCUCAGUUGUGACCGGAGGCCAAAAUGGAAUUAUGUCUCGGAAUUCCAUAGCUGGGCUGUAGACAGGAGAACUAGGCUAACCAAAUGAUUUUUCCCUAAAAUUAUGUAGCAUUGCUCCUGACAAUCCUCUCUGGCCUCAACCUCCCAGGGUGCUCAUAUUAUAGCUUUUAUAUUGCUUUUAGAAGAAAAAUUUUAUUGCACCUGACCAAACCCCAGAGUUUCCAAGGGUCAUCUAUAAGAGAUUGAGUUCCUUCCUUAUCACACACGCAGCUACUGUUUGUACCUUUUCAACAGGGGCUAAAUCCUGUAGACUUUCUUUCUUUCUUUUCUUUCUUUCUUUCUUUUCUUUCCUUCAUUCUUUUUCUUUUCUUUUUUUUUUUCUAAUACUGGCAAUGGAACCUAGGACUUUUCCCUGAGCUAUAUCCACAGCCCUUUUAAAUUUUCUGUUUUGAGGCAGGAUUUCACUGUCACUAAAUUGCCCUAGCACAACCCAAACUUUUGAUCCUCCUGCCUCUGCCUCCCAGAGUACAGGUAUGCACCACCACUUAUGGCCUCUUCAGUUUUGGUAUUCACCAAAGUUCCAUUCUAAGCACGUUUUCACUCUGUUGCCCUUCCUUCAAAUAUCUUUCCCUUAUCUAUCACCUAUAUAAUAGAGCCUCUUGAUUUCUAGCCCUGUGCAAAUAACAGUCUAUUAGAUAUCAAUAUUGGAUAGGAUACUCCUUGACUAUUUCAAACUCAACAUAGCCAAACUGAAACAUCCAUUGCCCAAAUCUGUCACUUGUGUGUAUUCUGUAAGAUAUCCUUGUUAGCAACAUGACUACUUAGGCCCAAGACUCCAGAUGUUAAGCUUCUGUUUAUAUAACUCAAUUGCAUUUUACUAGGUGGUGUAGUUGAAGAUUCAGGAUGAUGAAAACCUGUUUCCUCAUUAAAAAAAAAAAAGUUAACAAUGAUGGUAGCCAUAUGUGGUAAACAGUAGUACUCAAACUUGGCAUCUAUAUUAGCGUUCUCAUUGCUGAAAUAUAAUAGCUGACACCCAGAACUUCAAUGAGAGCUUCAGUUGGCUCACAGUUUCAGUCUAUGAUGAGCUGGCUUCAAGGCUAAAACAUCAUGAUGAAAGGAUAUGGCAGAGCAAAGCUGCUCAGGUCACGAUGGCUGAGAAACAGCAGGGGAACAGUACCAGAGAGGAAAGUGUGAGAUUCAGACCCAAAAUCAUACACCAUGACCCACCCAGACACCCUCAGAAGUGUGCUCCACUAAUCCCCUGGGGGAUCCCAAAGCCAAUCAAGUUAAAAUAUCCCACCCUGACUGCCACACCAUCGAAAUCAUUUGGAAUAAUUCUGAAGAUGAAAUUCAUGGGUCUACUUUGAAGCUACAUCUGAACAAACAACACAAACAUAGGCUAAGUUAUUUGCUAAGUGAUUUUUAUAAUAACUGGGAAUGUUAGAGGCUGGUUAAAAUAUAAUACAUUCCCACAAUGGAGUCGUCCUCAGCUAUUUAGAAAAAGAGUCAGGAAGAUUUCUAUGAACUCAUAGGAAGUGAUUUCUAAGAUAUUAUAUUAAAGAAGGAAAAUAAUUUUUAGGGUUUGGAUCAUAAAUGUCCCCCUGAGGUCCACAUGCUAAAGAUUUUGUCACUAGCUUAUGGUACUACUGGGAAGUGGUAGGGCUUUUAGAUGGAAGAACCUUGUGGAAGGAAGUUAGAUCAUUGGAGGCAUAUACUUGAAGGGGACAUUGGGACCACUGGCCUCUCCCUUUUUUUUUCUCUUUCCUGACUACUAUGAGCUGAACAACUGUGCUCUACUGCAUGCUACCGAUCCAAUAUAGCCCCAAAACGACAGAGCCAGCCAUCACUGACUGAAACCUCUGAACUAAAAUAAACUCUCCCUCAUACUUGUAGAUUGUGUCAGAUAUUUGUUACAACAAUGGAAAGCUAACUGCAGUACAUAUAGUUUUAACUAUGUGCACAUGUGGUGGAUUGAUUCAUGGUCAAUCUGUAUCACCCAGCUGAACUGAAUCAGCCUGGUCUGGGUGCGGAAGAUUCACCUGAAGAUUGUUACCAAUAGCCAUAAAAAGAGAACUGGAAGGGACGAUCUUGGCCUGUUGAUUUUCUAAGAGAAGCUUGCUACAGAUGGUUUUCCUGAUGCAAACUAGGCUGUUCUCAUCAUUGGAGGUGCUCGGGGUCUCACUGUCACUGGGAAUGGUUGGUGUUUUCAUCAGGGGAGUUCUGAUCUUCACCAUGAGCAUCACUUCCGGGCUCCAAUGUGGAUCCCUCAGCUUGGUGGCACAAAUCCUUCAUCUCACCAGCGUAGGUUUUCUGGCUUCCACCACUGACCUCUGAGCCUUCCUGGUGCAGCUGCUCAAUACGGACAAGCAAGAGACAUUGCCAUGGGCUCUCGGCCACUGGCUGGACUCAUGGAGGACACAGCCUUGGACUCUAAGCCUUUAGCUGGACUUGUGUGGGACAUUGCUGGGAUCCAUGCCCUCAGCUAGAUUCCUUGGGCCCCUAGUGUGCAGUUAAUCUCUCUUGCACUCCUUCGAAUUUGACUCUUUGGGUAAUUAUCAUAAAAUAAUCGUAUAAGUUAUGUGUCCUGUAUUUAAUGUAUUCCCUUGCCAAAUCCUGCUGACUACAACAGCAUAUGUGUGUUUUUUUGUUGUUUUUUUUGCAAAACAACCCACGAACAGUACAGUAGUACCUCGGUUCACCAACUUGAUUAUUCCCAUGUUUCAGUUGCAACCAGAAUCAUAGAAUUAAAUUUGUGAACCAAGGUGCCACUGUAAUGAAAAUAGUUACCUAAAAAGGGGGGUAGAAGCAGGGUAGGAAAGCCUGUAAAAUGUU